rnacentral:rRNA from 1 species
ACCGUCUCAGUUCAGAUUGCAGGCUGCAACCCGCCUGCAUGAAGUCGGAAUUGCUAGUAAUCGCGGAUCAGCAUGCCGCGGUGAAUACGUUCCCGGGCCUUGUACACACCGCCCGUCACACCAUGAGAGUCGGAAACACCCGAAGCCUGUAGUCCAACCGCAAGGGGGGCGCAGUCGAAGGUGGGUCUGAUAAUUGGGGUGAAGUCGUAACAAGGUAUC